UCUAAAAAUGCCUCAUGUUUGGUGUGUGGGGGUGGGGGGUGUUUGACAGUGGAGGUGGGUUUUUUUGUUUUGAGCUUUUAACGCAUCUAACUCAUAUGCCUGUGACCUGUCAAACACCUGGGCGGAAAGGUCUCUGUCUUAAAAACAACACACCCCAGCCCACCACCACGCCAACACACCACCACCAAAAAUGAGGUGCUGUCCAACUGCCCCUGGAAACUCCCUCGAACGCGUUAAACCGCUCUUUAAAAGAUGGAGGCCGCUGGGAGCGUGUGUCGCGGCAGGAAUUCUCUCUGGGCCGCCACACAGCUAGGGCGUGCGCACCCACGGAGUUAAACUUGGCCUGAGAACAGAACUGAGUGCAGUCCCACAGCAGCAGGAGAUAUUAGAGAGGAGACGUGCCCCCCUCCCGUCCUCUGCAGCUCAGCGCUAAUCUCCCAGGGCAGGCGGCCAGUGAUUUGCUUCCCUUCCUAAGACAGGACACAAGGCGGGAUGGGAAACGGCGAGGACGUGACCCAGCAGAUCAGCAAUCCCACCCAGUUUCUCCUAGCCCCCAAGCCAGCGUUUUGGCCACCAGGUCGCACGGCUUCUCAAUUUGCACGGCUGUAGCUGAGCUCCGCCUCCGACGCCAUCUCGGCGCGGACGUAGGGGAGAGGUGCCCGAGGCUCCGGAGAAGAGCACAGGAGGAAGCUGGCAGCAAGUGUCUGAGGAACUGCCCAGGGAACUGAGACCUCGUCCUGAGCCUCUGUUGAACCCAGAGCUCUGAGCUGAUCCUCUGCCGAGGAGAUUAAGCCAGGAAAGCCGGGCUCGGAGCACGCGGGUGCUAGAUGUAUUAUUAACUUUUAAUGUGGAGUGCUAGAGAUCCGCGCAUUUGUUUUCCUCGUUACUGAUGGAUAUUUAAUUGGCGAGCUGUUGCUGGGGUGCCGGAGUCAUCCAGCAGGAAUCCACUGCACAUACAAUUUUGCAUUCCUCUGCCGGCUCACUGGCUGCCAAAUAUUUUAAAUAAACAAACCUGACUGCAUCCAUACGUCGCAGAGAGUCAGUUUAUACAUACAGAGCCACGCAGCACACCCAUGGAGGGGCUGCCUCGCCCGUCACUGGGUGAACAACAGAGAUCACCAAGGUGCUCCAAGCACCAGCCAUGAAUUAGUGACGUCGCACGAUCAUUUAAACAGAGAGGAGAAUCGAGGAACAGCGGUGAAGUGAUUUUACCAAGAUCACCCGGUGGCAAAGGCUGGGAAUGGAACCCAGGAGUCCUAGCUCCUAGUCACCUGCACUCACCACUAAAAAAUAUGCCGCUUGCUCAUCUCGAUGCCAUUGAUCAGCCCACUAUGUUGCUGGCACUCACUGCGCAGCUCAGAGGAGGGUGAUAGCCAGGGAAGAAUUUGCAGGGGACGGAGACGGAGUGAGCAGCGGUGCUCAGCAGAGAUCAUCUCUCAGUCCCCUGUUCACACCACAUGAUACCCAGCUGAAGGCUGGGGAAAACAGCAGUCUCUGUGGAUAAAAAUUGCAGUUAUCUUAAUCCUUUGCAUGCUGCACCCGAGUCCUCGCUCGGGGGCUAAGACGUGGCAAUCUGAAAGCUGGCUCCUUUUUCUCAGCUCAUCCUCCCACACACACUUAAAGGGGAACUGAGCUCAAAGCAAACUCAAUCUGUCAUUGAUGCUGGGCCCUACUUAGCUAUGAAAUGGUGACGGUUUAUUUCUUGUGCACUGUACCUUUAAAUUUCCAAGAACUCCGGCAGUCUGCAGAGACAGCUGCCCUUUUGGUCUCACAGCAGCUGCAGCCUGUUACAGAGGAGAGGCACACGCUGUGCUCUCUCCUGGUGUCACGACCGGGACUUGGGUGGUCAGACCUAGUGGUCAGAGCAGGAGUCGGCCAAGGGUCAGAGCCAGACUUGGGAUCAGAAACCAGAGAGUCAGCGAUCAGCACCAAGCCAGAGAGAUGGAACCAGGGACAAGUCAGGAAAGCAGAGCUCGGAGUCAGGAGAGAAGGCCUGGUCCGAUGUCACAGCCAGGCAGAAAUGUACCCAAUUGCAUGGAGAACUUCUGGUGCCGCCUCCUCGCUUAAAUAGCGCGGCCGGACCAAUCAGUGGGGCUGGGUGCUCCUCCAGUCAGGAGUCCUCAGGGUGGGACUAGGGUUUCCUU